CGAAGAACGACCCUCCCAACCAACCUGAAGGAGAGCCUCAAGGUUCGACUUGAUCCUUGACUAAGCUUGGCCACAAAAUGGCGCAGAUAGCCUGAAGGUUCAACAAGCCUAGGAUCACAUCUGAAUCACUGACAUCCCCAUUCUGUAGGAAAGGAGAAUCCAUCAAAGAUCGUCUCGAAAACACUUGCCUUGAUCAGGAUACGCUGAAAAACCACCGAUGAGGAAAAUCACUUCAUCAUCAUCAUCAUCGUGGAAGUUUUAUAACCUUUGGGUCUCAGACAACUUAUAAGCUACAACCUCAUGUCAGAGAUACAUGGAAUACUGUCGGGAACAAACCUGAUGAAAGAACUCUCAUUGCUUACACCAAUGUUCGCGUUGAUACAGAGCUGGACGAUCCCAUCGACGCUCUUGUUUCAGGCAAAUCACUUCCGUCAGGGAGAAACUUAAUGAACGAACUCUCCGCGCUUACACCAACGCGUCACAUUGAUACAGAGCAGAAUGAUGCUCUUGUUUCAGGAAAUGUAAGGAAAUGUAAUGUGAUGUAAUGCAACGCUACAAUUUGUUAGGCAAAAUGUUUGUUCAAAAUUGUGAUUUAUCAACAUGUUUGAAGAUCACCUGUAUGUAGAUCACCUGUAUGUAGAUCACCUGUAUGUAGAUCACC